rnacentral:rRNA from 1 species
AUUGAACGCUGGCGGCAGGCCUAACACAUGCAAGUCGAACGAGUGGCGGACGGGUGAGUAAUGGCUGGGAAACUGCCUGAUGGAGGGGGAUAACUACUGGCAACGGUAGCUAAUCCCGCAUACCAUCGGAUGUUCCCAGAUGGGAGUAGCUAGUAGGGGGGGUAAAGGCUCACUUAGUUGACGAUCGCUAGCUGGUCUGAGAGGAUGACGGGCAACACUGGAAGUGAGACACGGGCCAGACUCCUACGGGAGGCAGCAGUGGGGAUCAUUGCACAAUGGGCGCAAGCCUGAGGCAGCCAUGCCGCGUGUAUGAAGAAGGGCUUCGGGUUGUAAAGUACUUUCAGCGGGGAGGCGUUACCCGCAGAAGAAGCACCGGCUAACUCCGUGCCAGCAGCCGCGGUAAUAC